UACGAAGGGGACUAGCGCUGUUCGGAAUCACUGGGCGUAAAGCGCACGUAGGCGGAUAUGUCAGUCAGGGGUGAAAUCCCGGGGCUCAACCUCGGAACUGCCUUUGAUACAGCAUAUCUUGAGUCCGAUAGAGGUGGGUGGAAUUCCUAGUGUAGAGGUGAAAUUCGUAGAUAUUAGGAAGAACACCGGUGGCGAAGGCGGCCCACUGGAUCGGUACUGACGCUGAGGUGCGAAAGCGUGGGGAGCAAACAGGG
rnacentral:rRNA from 1 species